CCAGUCUGGGGCCUGGGCGAAGUGCCCGUAGAAAUCACAGUCUCUCAGAUGCUGAUACCAUCCUGAAGUUCCCACGCAACGCAAGCUUAGAAUUUUCUUCUGAUGGUACACGAUAAGAAGAAAUUUUCCCUCCCUUGUAGCUCUCGUAAGUCCCAAGCUGUCAUGUCAUGUACCUAUAGGAGUAGCUCACCACUUUUUCUUCUCUUUCUUUCCCAGCUUUCUUCAGCUCCUCGUUUAUUUUGUCUUAGCGCUCCAGUAAGAGCUGUGUAUGUACAUAUAUAAAUGGUGGAAUCUCUUCGGCGCAAGUCCCCUCCACUGCGGCUGCGCCUUGUCAAAUUCGCUUUUACCGUUCUUGUUGCUUAGCAGUUGGCUGGCAUUUGUACAAUGUGUGCGCAUCAGUUGAUCGAAACAUGGUACCAUUGCAGAUGCACGGUAGAAACCCUACCCUGAGCUAUGAAGUAGUAGUAAAUCUGAGAGGAGGAGGGGUUGGGCAGUGCAGUGGGAGUACUGGAGUGGGGCAGGCAGGAGGACGGAGGGAGGCCAAGGUGAACAGCAAAAGACCAGCCAAUGGGCAGUCAAGAGGCUGACACAGCUCCUGUUUCCAUGUGAGGUAGCGCAUGGCCUGGCCUGUGUGUGGGUGCGUGGGGCCAGGGGGCACUGUGGCGCGCACACACACGCAUACAAGAAGGCGCACUCACGCAGCACGGCCACCUUUCUUUAAUUUUCCGGGGCUUGCUUUGUCUUCAAAUCAUCAAUCAGUGAGCUUAGCUUAGCCUUUAGUUGGUCAAAGGUUCCCUUAACCAGUUUUUGUCCUCUCUCUGCUUAUCUUAAUCGCAUGGGUAACAUGGCUCCUCGCCCUAUUAUACUGCCCUAUCUUCUCUAUUAUAGAUGCAUGGUGCUGUGUCCAAUGCUUAGGCCUUGCUAAACUAAUCGUCCAUGUCCAGCAAGCAAGUGGCAUGCUGAUUCCCCCAGAUCUCAAGAGGGCUGUUCAAACCUGCUAGGGCUGCAGGUUCAGAUUUGAGUCUGGGGCGUGCUCCUUGUUUUGGUUUGUUUAUUCCUUCGCUGUGACUGCGAGAGAAUUGAGGGCACACCAGUUGUCACAUAUGGUAAAAAUUCAUGAAGCUUCACAGGUCAGUAGUAAUAAGCAGUACUAGCACCAUUCACACAGGCUAUAUAGGCAGGGCGGGUCAUUUUACUCUGGGUGAAUUGAAUACAGUAGUUUUACCCUUCAGGAGCCCCAAAAGCUCUAUGUAGAGUCCAUCACUCCUCCAUGCAGCAGCACAGCAGCAGCAACAACAACAGAACACACAACACAAAGUCUGGAAAAGCUACAAAGGCCAUGGUGACAUUGACAAACUGUGCCUCGGAAUGGAGCCUCUGGCAUGGCCACAAGGCCGUGGGCCCCCUGCGCGCCUGCGCUGUUUUGGAGCCCNNNNNNNNNNNNNNNNNNNNNNNNNNNNNNNNNNNNNNNNNNNNNNNNNNNNNNNNNNNNNNNNNNNNNNNNNNNNNNNNNNNNNNNNNNNNNNNNNNNNNNNNNNNNNNNNNNNNNNNNNNNNNNNNNNNNNNNNNNNNNNNNNNNNNNNNNNNNNNNNNNNNNNNNNNNNNNNNNNNNNNNNNNNNNNNNNNNNNNNNNNNNNNNNNNNNNNNNNNNNNNNNNNNNNNNNNNNNNNNNNNNNNNNNNNNNNNNNNNNNNNNNNNNNNNNNNNNNNNNNNNNNNNNNNNNNNNNNNNNNNNNNNNNNNNNNNNNNNNNNNNNNNNNNNNNNNNNNNNNNCCCAGUCUAUCAUGCAUGCAGUGCAGCACCAGCUCUGGCUCUUUGUGCAGAAACAAGCUCAAAUAUGCAUGCUCCGAGUGUGAUUUUACAGUAAAAUUUUGCUGGAAAUUUCGACGUUGAACUUUAUUGUUAUUGCUAUAUGGAAGUUAUUCUACCCAUCCUUACUUUCCACAUGCUAGUCUGCCACGUACGUACAUGCCGGGGUGACAACACACUGCUCUUAUCCCUUUGCAAAAGAGGAGAGAAAAAUGGAAAAAAGACAAGCCGCUUUCAUUCUUUUGCUUUGUUUCCGUCAUGCUCACCAUUAAUGGCCAGCAGCCCAAAACGCGGCAUGUUCCUCGGCCAAUCUCACGCACAAAAUCCAGUCCAAAGAGUUCACAUCAUCAUCAGUGUGCCCUCGAGCAAUUCCUGCGAGUGUGUGUAUCUAGCAAGUAGCAACGCCGCUGCUGAGCUGCUGGCGAUGGAUGAAUAGACGCAUGUCUGCUUGCUUGUGCAUUUGCUGCUGCUGCUAGUUGAGUUCUUCCCCCUGUGUUGAAAAGGAGGGCAUCCCCAUCAUGCAUGUGUUGUGUGAUGGGCCCCAGGAGGGCUGUGCUUGGCCUAACGCCUCCACCCUCAGCUGGGGGAGGACAUGUAGGGCAUCCAGGGACAGGGUUAUCAUGCCACAGUCACUGCCCGUGUAGUGAAGCCCAACCAGUGACCGGCUCAUUCAGCGACCUGGCACUGGCAGCGCCUAUCUCUCUCAUGGCCACUCCGUCCCUCCCCGUGAAAUGAAAUGUACCACCGUGAAGCGUUGCUCGCAGCGAGCGCCUCCAACCAAAAGGCGAUACGACUGGGUCAAGCGGCCGGCCGGGGCGGUUGUUCGUGCCGGCUAUGUGGCAUUUACCACCGUGAAUGAAUGCGCACUGUGCCGUGGAUGUGGCGGGGUACUAAAAGUUGCACCCUCCCUGUGCUUGAAUGGGUGGCACUGCCCAUCGCCUGCGAAAAGGCUCAUGGCAAUGCAUCUGACACCAGUAAAGGUGGGAAUGCUCAUAUUUUGUUCUAAUUAGAGCACCUCCACUCCUUCUGCCCCCGUGCGCACCCGAUUGUGGUUCGGCCGGUCGGCGUUUUUUUGGCUCCGGGGCGAUCUAAUUCCCAGUCACGCCCCAGGUUCGGCCUCAAGACGCGUAUACAUUCAAACAUGGUAUUUUCCGCUACCCAAAAAGAUGCCACAAGUUCGGCGAUCACCAUGCUAUAGUUUGGCGAUCAAUCAUGCUCGAAAGUUCGGCGUUCAAAAGGAAGGACGCGUAGGAAAUGCAUCAAACGGCGGCGUGCUCCUCCGGCGUCGGCGGGAGUCAGCGUGCUCGGGCUGGUCGUCGUCGGCCCCGCUUCUGUGCUGGGCGUCGUGGAGGCAUCAUCACUCGGGCUUGGCGGUGACAUUGGUGUCGGCGUGGGAGUUGGCGCGGCCGUCGACGACAUGUGGUUCAAGAAGAGGCCGCCCUCCGCUAGGUACCACGUCUUGACCUGCUCGUCCAUCGUCGACAUGUCCGCCCCCAUUAGGAAAGCCAGGUCGGUGUUCCUCUUCUUCGCGGCAACGUUGGUCCGGAGUAGGUCGAACUUGAUGGCGUUGUUCGUCAUCAGUGCCGACCACCGCGCCCCGGAUUUCUCUUCCCUCUGGGCGGGGUGGUUCUUGGCAUCGGCGAUGCACUGCUCGAUGGACGCGUGCAGGCGCUCGGUAGCCGGUGCGGCGUCCUUCGCCAUCUUGGCUCAUUUGUUGCCGUCAGGGCGCCCAUCCGCCGCGUCCGGCGUCGGCGCGUACGGCUUGUAUGUCUCCUUUCCCUUGGCGAGGGUGCGCCGGACAUCCGCCCACUUGUCGCACUUCUCGAUCCGGGGGAACACAUGGAGGUACUUGAACUCUUGGUCGGUGCUGCUGUCCUGGCGGUACAUGGCGAACAUCCGAACCAUCUGCACUGAAGAACAAGUGCUGGCGACACAAACGGCGAAAAGAAGCGAGAGCAGGCGUCUACGCAUACCUGGCCCUCAACGUUGUCGCCGCUUUUCGGGCGAGCGGCGAUCUCCUCGAUGAUCCCAUGCCAUUUCUUACAGCGCGUUUGGAUGAGCGCCCAAUGGUUCGCCAUGGCCUUCGAGCCGCGCUUCAUGUGGAUGGUGGCAAAGUAGGGGUCAACCAACUUGCGCUCGUCGAACUCCGAUUUGAUGCGCUCCAAGUACGUGUCGUCGCUUUGGUUCGUGCUGGUGAUCGGGUCAAGGCAGAUGGUUUUCCAUGCUUCGGCGAGGCACUCGUCUUCUUUGUACGUCCACAUGACGCGCGGCUCGCCGGUCCUACCCCCACUUCUUUUUCCCUUUCCUCACUGACGCAGGCGCCGGCUCCUCCUCCUCCUCCUCCUCUUCUUCCCCUCCUCCUCCUCCUCGCCAUAGUCGAGCUCGUCGUCCAUGUCGCUGGCGAGGUCCAUUGUAUCGUCUUGCGCCUGGAACCCGGGGGGCGGCGGCGGAAAAUACUGUGUCCUGCGUCCCUUGUUGCCCAUCGAUCCAAGAUCCACAUUUCAGGCUCCCGACCCGAGAUCUGCCGGUUUUGACACCGACGUUGGUGCUUUCAUGAAGAGUUCUGCUGUCGGAUCACUAGAAGGAUCGAUGGCCACCCACGCUGGGGACAUCUCAGCCCCUGGCCGGGCUCUUGCGCCUGGCAGUGUCAUACUGCGUGCUGAUCCAUCCAGCCGCCUUGGCUAGGAUGAAAGCUUCACCCCCGGUCAGAAGAUCAGGUUUGGGAGCCUAGAGUUCACCGCCUACCCCCGCGAAGAUCUUACUCCAGCUAAGUCACCGGUUCCCCCUCAGGGAACUCGCUGAUCCCCACAAUUUGACUUCGGGGACGAGAACCGAUCAUGUACGGAACCUGGCCCUAAAUCCCGACCUCACCGGAAUAGUCAAGGCGUUGUCGGCCAAACACCGCCCGGAUCUGACCUCAAACGACCCCGGAGUGGCCACACUGCAGGACAGCCCCGAACACUCGGGUAGCGCGAACCCAACGGGCCUUUCGUCAAUAAACGAUCUGCUAGAUUGAAUCCGAGCUAUGGGAGUCUCCGACGGCCAACCUUCGGCCUGAUUGGCUAUAUUUUUAUCGUGUCAACUUUUAACUGUGCUACCUGGUCCUUAUGCUCGGAGCAACUUCUGACAAUGAGCUAAGCUUACGUCGAUCUUCCUCAUCUUAUCAUUUCACCUCGAACAACGAGCUUGACUUCGAGCUUGUGUCGAAUCCAUGGUUAUCAUAGCCUUUCACUUCAUCCUUCCUUUUCUGCUCGAUGGCAUCUUCAUAGAGUCUCUCGACAAAAUUUGUCGUGAUCACCGUCAACACUUUGGCUUCUUCAGAGAUGUCAAUUGAAUUCAUGGCUAGAAAUACCAUCCCUGCCCCUCGAUGAUUUGUGAUAUCAUCGAUGACAUCUUGACUUUCUGCCAACACAGACCUGGUUGUGUUUGGUUAUUCCUUAUGUUCUGAGAUAUCUUGGAAUUGUUUCUCGGUAUCUCUUGAGAUCUUCGAACCUAAUGUUUACUUGACACCAUAUCAUUGCCGCAUCGAAGCAUGACUGUGGUAUUCCGAAUAUCAACAAGAACAUCAGAAGCAUAAUACAAAAUGUCUCUUGUUCACUUACCCUCACACCGUUCUAUGUGUAAUAUCAUGAUUCUUCCCUCUCCCCAUUAUUUAAAUGCUUUUGAACUUGUUGUCCUAUCAUGUAUAUCCUGCUCCGCUUUUCCUUGGGAAGGAUAUACUCCCAAAUCUUAUGUGUAAACACAUCUUCCUUUCCAUUGUGUUGUUUGAUUUGAUAAUCAUAAUUUUCCUUUCCAUUGAUUUGUUUAACCCUUCUUGUGAUAUAUAUGAUAUAAGAAGUAAUAAUUCCCUGCUUAUGUAAACACCUCGGUGUACAACUCUGUCAGUAAGACCCUGUUGCUUUUGUUGAUGGCAUUCUAGUAACCACCGAUGGACGAGAACUUUCCCUAUUGGUCCGCCUCGUUUCAACGUGCAGGAAAAUGGUUCUCUUCGUCCCUCGCCCUUGGUACCAACGUUGUUGCCAACAUAACUGACAGGCUAUCCUCUGACAUACCUUGCUAUCUUGACCGUGCAAAUGUUAAGCGCCUUCCUGCUUUUAACCCACAUCGUGGGCCCAUAACCCAUAGUUCCACAUGAUCGAAACCUGAAUCUCCUGUACACCCCCUGAUCCCAAGGUUGUUCCUCGCGCGUGGCCUCGUAUGUAAUUCACGAGCCACCUUCUGAGAGAUCAUCAAUUCUGGUACAAAACACGAUACUAAUUCCCGUUGCUUUGAACCCCUUUCACGCCCUAUUCCAGGCAUCAAACGAUUGCCUGCCCGCUCGAAACUUCCCAUGAUUCCUCCUUACUUUGCUAUCGAAAUCUUCUUAAGUUUCAAUUCAAGAGUUACUUUCCGCCACCUUCCCCGAUGUUAUCGACCAGAUACUCAACCUUGCAGAGGUCCGUUCUUCCAGAACCCAUCCUCUAUUCAUUCGUAAGUACGAUAGAGAUCCUAAAGAAAGAUGACGACUUCAUCAUGAUGACCUAAAGCAGAGAAAUGAAGACAUCAACGUAGUGGAUCGACCUCUUCGAGAAGGACAACCAACACCGAGAAGAAUCAUUAGAAAUUUCGUAACCAGAACUCCCCCCUCGUAUACACCUCUUAAAUCUCGGGACGAAAUUUCUUGUAGUGGAGGAGAAUUGUGAUGCCCGGAUAAUUCAGCUAUAGUAAACCUUUGUUAAUGAUGCCACGUCACCACGGUUACUGUUCCUAAUCUCGCGUUAGUUCGAAACCGAUUCAAAUUCAAAUUCAAAAUCAAGUCAAACGACAAAAGUUUUCAAAUAUUAAAACUUAAAUGUUCAGGAGGUGCCAAAUAAUGCAUAGGUAAUUAUGGUGAAGAAACCACACUUUUAUAAAAUGUUUAAAUACUCUAAAAUGAUUUAAAACGUAGCAAAACCAAUUAUAUAAAUGCCUUUGGUAUUUUUUUAAAUUGUUAAACUAUAUUAAUUUGGGGUAAAACUUUUUAUGAUAGUGGGUUAUUAUGGAACAUUAUUUUAGGGGAUAUUGUUAUAUUUUACUGAACUAAAAUUAAUGUGUAACUAAAAGAAAAACAGAAAAGAAUGAAUAAAGCAAAAAGAGAAAACGACCAAAAAAAGGGGCGCAAGCCCCCUCCUCCCUGGGCCGUUUAGCCCAGCUGGCCACUGCACUGCCGUCCCAGCCUUGGCCUAUAUGGCCCCUCACCCCGUGACCUAACCGAACCCCUCCCCCACGAUCCCCACAAUCCCCCCCCGCCUGGAUCUGGAUCGCGCCCUAGCGCCCGGACCCCGCCGCCCCGUCCCUACGCCCCGCCGCCGGCGUCGCCCGUCUUCGCUGUCGCCUCCCCGUCUCCUUCCCACGCCGGACCUCCUCCCCGACGGCCNNNNNNNNNNNNNNNNNNNNNNNNNNNNNNNNNNNNNNNNNNNNNNNNNNNNNNNNNNNNNNNNNNNNNNNNNNNNNNNNNNNNNNNNNNNNNNNNNNNNNNNNNNNNNNNNNNNNNNNNNNNNNNNNNNNNNNNNNNNNNNNNNNNNNNNNNNNNNNNNNNNNNNNNNNNNNNNNNNNNNNNNNNNNNNNNNNNNNNNNNNNNNNNNNNNNNNNNNNNNNNNNNNNNNNNNNNNNNNNNNNNNNNNNNNNNNNNNNNNNNNNNNNNNNNNNNNNNNNNNNNNNNNNNNNNNNNNNNNNNNNNNNNNNNNNNNNNNNNNNNNNNNNNNNNNNNNNNNNNNNNNNNNNNNNNNNNNNNNNNNNNNNNNNNNNNNNNNNNNNNNNNNNNNNNNUGCGCCCCGUCGCCGCUCGACGUCCCGGACACCGCCGCCCGACGCCGUCACCGGACCCCGCCGCUGCCCGAAGCCACCACGACGGCCCGCCUCCCCGCUGGAACAACGUCUCCGACCUCCUCCUCAAACCAUGCUGCUCGAACCCCUACACCACCCCUUUAGGCCCCCUUCCUCCUUUCCCCGUGGUCACCGCCGCUCACGCUCGCGCUCGCCCCGCACGCGCCUCGCUCGCGCCCGCCUGCGCUCACGUGUGGCCCCGCCUAGCCGCAGCACGCCCGCGCCUCACGGCCUUUGCACCCGAGACGCACCCGCUUCGCCUUGCCCCACGUGCCACGCCAUAGCCGCGUCCACCAGCGCGCUUGCCCGCGUGUCGGCCGGUCGCCGCGCCCCUCCUCCCGCCUACUGCCGGCUGACGACCGCGCCUCGCCGUGCCGUCCCACCUCCACCGCUCUGCCCCACGCGCCGCUGCUGUGCUAUGUCGUGUUGUCCGCCGCCCGCGUCCCCCACAGUCCCGACCACCCCCUCGCCGCGCCGCCCUUUCGCCAUGCCGUCGCCGUUGCCCCUCUGGCGGUCGAGGCGUGCACCCGAACGAACGGGUGCUGGGCACCCGUUGCGCCCAUUCGCCUAGUGCCCGCUAGGCUUCCCCAGAGCCUAUGAUAUAUGGGCCCCACGCCCCCAUUAAAAAAAGAAUUAGAAAAUUAAUUAGAAAAAUAUUAAUUAAUUAGAUAAUUAAUUAACUUAAUUAAAUCUGUUAAAUUAACAUAAUGACUUAAUUAAAUUAAUUAAACCUGCUUAGUUAGUCUAAGACAAUGACGAACGGGCCCCACCUGUCAGUUUGACCGGUCAACGGUCACAGUUGACUGCUGACGUCAUGCUGAUGUAGUAAACCUAUUUUUGGUUUAAAUUGAAUCUGUUAAUUCCUGAAAAUGAUUAAAUCCUUUUUAAAUUAAUAUAAAAUAAACCAUAGCUCAAAUGAAAAUACUUUAUACAUGAAAGUUGCUCAGAACGACAAGACGAAUCCGAAUACGCAGUCCGUUUGUCCGCCACACGUCCCUAGCAUAGCGAACCUGCAACCUUUCCCCUCCGGUUCGUCUGUCCGAAUAUGCCAAAAACCGGGAAUACUUUCCCGGAUGUUUCCCCGCUUCGCCGGUAUCACCUAUCCCUGCGUUGGUCACCCCUAGCACAACGUAUUGCCACGUCUUUCUUUGUGUUACAUUUGAUUGCUCUGUUAUUUAUUGCGUUCCCCCUCCGUUACUUCUUUCCGGUAGACCCUCAGACCGCUGUCGGUACCCCUGGGAUCGACUACAUCGAUGACGACCCCUCAUUCUUGCCAGAGCAACCAGGCAAGCCCCCCUGAUCACCAUAUAUCGCCUAUUCUUCUCUCUACUACCUGCAUUAGAGUAGUGUAGCAUGUUACUGCUUUCCGUUAAUCCUAUCCUGAUGCAUAGCCUGUCCUUGCUACUACUGUUGUUACCUUUACCUGCAAUCCUACAUGCUUAGUAUAGGAUGCUAGUAUUCCAUCGAUGGCCCUACAUCCUUGUCCGUCUGCCAUGCUAUGCUACCGGGCAGUGAUCACUCGGGAGGUGAUCACGGGUAUAUACCUACAUACAUAUUAUAUGAUACAUGUGGUGACUAAAGUCGGGUCGGCUUGUAGAGUACCCGUAAGUGAUUCCGAUGUGGGGGGCUGGAAGGAUAGGUGGCUCCAUCCCGGUAGAGGUGGGCCUGGGUUCCCGAAGGCCCCCAACUGUUACUUUGUGGCGCAGCGACAGGGCAGGUUGAGACCACCUAGGAGAGAGGUGGGCCUGGCCCUGGUCGGUGUCUGCGGUUACUUCAUAAUAACACGCUUAACGAGAUCUUGGUAUUUGAUCCGAGUUGGGUCGUUGACCUUAUACGCAAUAACCGCCACGUGGGACAAGAUAUGGGCAACCAGCGUCGUGGUAUCAGCCGAAGCCUUCGUGACGUCAGCGACUGAGCGGCGCGCGCCGGUUGGACCGCGUAACGCAACUUCCUUUGUAAUGGAGGUUGCUAGGUCUGCUCACCGGCCGCGUACGCAACGUGCAGGUGUGCAAUGGGCGAUGGGCCCAGACCCCUGCGCGCAUAGGAUUUAGACCGGCGUGCUGACCUCUCUGUUGUGCCUAGGUGGGGCUGCGACGUGUUGAUCUCCCGAGGCCGGGCUUGACCCAGGAAAGUGUGUCCGGCCAAAGGGGAUCGAGCGUGUUGGGUAAUGUGGUGCACCCCUGCAGGGAAGUUAAUCUAUUCGAAUAGCCGUGAUCUUCGGUAACAGGAUGGCCAAGAGUUGUACCUUGACCUUAUGACAAAUAGAACCGGAUACUUAAUAAAACACACCCUUCCAAGUGCCAGAUACAACCCGGUGAUCGCUCUCUAACAGGGCGACGAGGAGAGGAUCGCCGGAUAGGAGCAUAUACGAUGCUACUUGGUGAACUUACCAUCUACUCUCUUCUACAUGCUGCAAGAUGGAGGCUGCCAGAAGCGUAGUCUUCGAUAGGAUUAGCUAUCCCCCUCUUAUUCUAGCAUUCUGUAGUCCAGUCCACCGAUAUUGCCCCUUUACAUAGUUAUCCAUGCAUAAGUAGUGUAGAUCCUUACUUGCGAGUACUUUGGAUGAGUACUCACGGUUGCUUUUCUCCCCCUUUUCCCCCUUUCCUUUCUUCCUGGUUGUCGCAACCAGAUGCUGGAGCCAGACGCCACCGUCGACGAUGACUGCUACUACACCGGAGGUGCCUACUAUUACGUGCAGGCCGCUGACGACAGCCAGGAGUAGUUUAGGAGGAUCCCAGGCAGGAGGCCUGCGUCUCUUUCGAUCUGUAUCCUAGUUUGUGCUAGCCUUCUUAAGGCAAACUUGAUUAACUUAUGUCUGUACUCAGAUAUUGUUGCUUCCGCUGACUCGUCUAUAAUCAAGCACUUGUAUUCGAGCCCUCGAGGCCCCUGGCUUGUAUUAUGAUGCUUGUAGGACUUAUUUAUGUUUUUAGAGUUGUGUUGUGAUAUCUUCCCGUGAGUCCCUGAUCUUGAUCGUACAUGUUUGCGUGCAUGAUUAUUGAUUAGUGUACGAUUGAAUCGGGGGCGUCACAGACCCGCCGUGCUAGUCCUCGACCCCAUAGUGGAUGGCUUUAGACUAACCAAGGUUCUUACGGAUGGAGGCAACGGUCUAAACCUCAUUUAUGAGGAAACCCUCAACAAAAUGCAAUUCGACAGAUCUCGAGUCGAACAAAGCUACAAUACAUUUCGGGGAAUUAUCCCCGAAAAAGAGGCGCGUUGCUCCGGACGAGUCACCCUGGACGUAGUGUUCGGCACUCCGGAGAACUACAGGACCGAGGAACUACUUUUCCACAUCAUGCCCUUUCAUAGCGGAUACCACGCCCUAUUGGGGUGUUGCGCAUUCUCAAGGUUCCAAGCUAUACCUCACUAUGGGUACAUGAAACUCAAAAUGCCAGGGCCUAAUGGUGUGAUGACAAUAGCUAGUGACCCGGACAAAGCCCUCCGACCCAAAAACAAAACAACAUCUCUCGCCCUCGAGGCACUAUCCGAGGCUCUUGCAGCCGAGGAGUUUACCACUCUCCGUACAAUAGUGGACAUGGAUGAUGUCACCCUUAGUAAAAGACCCAAGUCUACAUCCUUCAAACAAGCCGAUGAAACCGUCAAAUUCGAAGUGCAUCCGACGGACCCAGAGAAAACAACGACCAUCGGAGCCCAGCUGGAUCCUGUGGUCGACGAGGCGUUGCGCGCAUUGCUGCGUGAGAAUUGGGUCAUAUUUGCCUGGCACUCUUCGGACAUGCCAGGAAUCCCACGCAGGCUGGCGGAGCAUAGUCUGAAUAUAAUUAAGGGCUUCAAGCCAGUUAAACAGACGCUACGCCGAUUUUCCAAACCCAAGCGUCAAGCCAUGGGGGAAGAAUUAGCUAAAUUACUUGAAGCUGGAUUCAUUAGAGAAAUAAAACACCCAAGUGGUCGGCGAAUCUGGUCAUGUUACCCAAAAAAGACAAAUCCUGGCGGCUGUGUGUCGAUUUCAAGGACCUCAAUAAGGAUUGCCCCAAGGAUCCCUUUCCUUUACCCCGAUAGACCAGAUCAUCGACGCCAACGCCGGACACGACUCAGUAUGCUUCCUUAACGCCUACUCUGGGUAUCACCAAAUCAAGACGAAGGAGUCCAACCAACCAGCAACGACGUUCAUUACACCCUACGGACCAUUCUGCUUCAAUACAAUGCCCUUCGGGUUAAAAAACGCAGGCGCAACAUAACAGCGCAUGAUUCAAACAUGCGUGGGAACUAAAUCAGCAAAACAGUCAAAGCAUAUGUAGAUGAUGUGGUCAUUAAGACCAAACACGUCAGCCGGUUGGUAGACGGCCUCCGCUAGACCUUCGAAAACUUGAGAACAUACGAUAUACGGCUUAACCCGGAUAAAUGUGUUUUCGGAGUUCCCGCCGGAAAACUGCUCGGAUUCAUUGUCUCCCAUAGAGGGAAAGAAGCCAAUCCGGCUAAAAAUCCGAGCUCUGUCCCAGCUGGCAAUACCCACAGAGCUCAAACACGUUUAGAAGCUAGCCGGUUGCGUUGUAGCCUUGAGUCAUUUCAUCUCUCGCCUCGGUGAAAAGGUUGUGCCGCUCUACAAAUUACUCAAAAAGACCAAAAACUUUGAAUGGACCGAUGAGGCAACUGCCGCACUAGAGGAGAUAAAAACUCUACUAACAGGCAAUCCAAUUUUGAUAGCACCUGGCAUAGGCGAGCCUAUGUUGCUAUGCAUCUCAGCUAUGAACCAGGUCGUGAGCGUCGAACUCAUGGUAGAACGAGAGGCAGAAGGCCAUAAGUUUCGGGUGUAGAAACCUAUCUACUGUGUAUCACAAGUGCUCACUGUCGGAGUCAAAACCAGCGGAUCUCGGGUAGGGGGUCCCGAACUAUGCGUCUAAGGUCGAUGGUUGCAGGAGACGGGGGACACGAUGUUUACCCAGGUUCGGGCCCUCUCUAUGGAGGUAAUACCCUACUUCCUGAUUGAUUGAUCUUGACGAAUAUGAAUAUUACAAGAGUUUAUCUAGCACGAGAUCUUAAUGGCUAAACCCUAGAAGCCUAGCCUAUAUGACUAUGGUAAUGAGUAUAUAUCCUUUUCGGACUACACCCUCCAGUUUAUAUAGACACCCCCGUGCAAAUCCCGAUAUCCACACUAUCAGAAGAUAGCUGAUACGUCUCCAACGUAUCUAUAAUUUAUGAAGUAUUUAUGGCAUGUUUACAACAAUUUUAUAUGGUUUUGGUAUGAUUUGAUUAGAACUAACCCGGACUGACGCUGUUUUCAGCAGAACUACCGUGGUGUCGUUUUUUGUGUAGAAAUAAAAGUUCUCGGAAUGGGCUGGAAAUUUACGGUGAUUGUUUAUGGACCAAAAGAGACCCCCGAAACACAGGAGCUGGGCCAGGAAGUGGACGAGGUGACCACAAGAUGCCAGGGCGCACCCUGGCGGGUAGGGCGCACCCCUACGGCUUGUGGGCCCCUCGGGCACCCCCUUGACGUGAGACCGACACCAAAAUUUCCUAUAUAUUCUGUAACCUCCAUAAAGAACCCUAGUAGAUAAGUUCUGUCACCGCAAGCCUCUGUAGCCACAAAAAAUCAAUCUAGGCCCUCUCCGGCACCUUGCCGGAGGGGGCCAUCAUCACCGGAGGCCAUGGAGGAGGAAGCCAAGGAUCAUCUUGAUCAACAUCACCGUCUUCAUCAGCUCCCUCAUCUCUUUUCAUCGGUCCACUCUUCCGCACCCCGAUGUAAUCCCCUACUUGAACAUGGUGCUUUAUGCCACAUAUUAUGAUCCAAUGAUGUGUUGACAUCGUAUGAUGUUUUGACUAGAUUUCUUUUGUCUUUUGGGUUGAUUGAUGAUCUAGAUUGGUUUGAGUUGUAUGCUUUAUUUUGGUUCUUUCCUAUGGUGCCUUCUGUGCCGCGCACAAGUGAGGGAUUCCUGCUAUAGGGUGUUGCAACACGUUCAUGAUUCGCUUAUAGUGGGUUGCUAGAGUGACAAAAGCUUAAACCCGAGUAAGGGGGUUGUUGCGUAUGGGAGUAAAGAGGACUUGAUAUUUAAUGCUAUGGUUGGGCUUACCUUAAUGAUUUCUAGUAGUUGUAGAUGCUUGCUAUAGGUCCAAUCAUAAGUUCAUAUGAUCCAAGUACAGAAAGUAUGUUAGCUCAUGCCUCUCCCUCAUAUAGAAUUACAAUAAUGAUUACCGAACUCGUUAACAAUUGCCUAGGAUAAUUCCGCACACCGAUCCAUCAUUAUUCCACACUCGCUAUUUGCAAUAUAUUAUGAUAUAUUCUAACUUUAUGAUAACAACACCUAUUUUUAUAUUUUAGUUCUCCGAUAUCAUGCAAAGCUAUCCUCUUCAUACCCACAAUGCAGUUUUAUUUCUUGUUUCUAGAUGGAAGCAAACAUUCGGUGUACGUAGAGUCGUAUCAGUGGCAGAUAGGACUUGAGAGAAUAUUGACCUUACCUUUAGCUCCUUGUGGGUUUGACACUCCAUACUUAUCACUUCCAGCUUUGUAAAUUUCUACGAUGAUUCCUUGCACUUGGGGAUUAUCAAUAGCUUACACAAUUUUUAUGGCAUCCCAAAAGCUCCGACGCUACUUUCAAGAGUGUUCGGUCACGGUGGCAUCUGAGGUACCCCUAGAUGACAUUAUCAACAAUAGGGAUGCCACAGGUCGCAUCGCCAAAUGGGCCAUAGAGCUCCUGCCCUUUGAAGUUGUGUGCAAGCCACGCCGAGCUAUCAAGUCUCAUGUACUAGACAAUUUUCUGGCCGAGUGGAUGGAAGUUGAGCUUCUCCGGGAACACAAUACGUACUCACAUUGGAUAAUGUAUUUUGGUGGCUCCAAGAUGUUAGCCGGACUAGGCGCUGGGGUAAUCCUUACGUCCCCCACAAGCGACACUAUCCGGUAGAUACUACAGAUCAUGUACAUAGACUCCAACAACGCAGUCGAAUACGAAGCCCUGCUGCAUGGUCUUCGGAUUGUUGGAAAUAUGCCCUAGAGGCAAUAAUAAAGUGGUUAUUAUUAUAUUUCCUUAAUCAUGAUAAAGGUUAUAAUUCAUGUUAUAAUUGUAUUGAUUGGAAACUUAAAUACAUGUGUGAAUACAUAAGCAAAUACCAACUCCCUAGUAAGCCUCUACUAGACUAGCUCGUUGAUCAACAGAUGGUUAAGGUUUCCUGACCAUAGACAUGAGUUGUCAUUUGAUAAUGGGAUCACAUCAUUAGGAGAAUGUUGUGAUGGAAAAUACCCCUCCGUUAGCAUAGCAUAUGAUCGUUUAGUUUUUCUACUACUUUCUUAAUGUCAAAUACAUAUUCGUUCGACCAUGAGAUCAUGCAACUCCCGGAUACCUGAGGAAUACCUUGUGUGCUAUCAAAUAUCACAACAUAACUGUGUGAUCAUAAAGGUGCUCUACAGGUAUCUCCGAAGGUGUCUAUUGAGUUGGCGUGAAUCGAGAUUGGGAUUUGUCACUCCGUAUGACGAAGAGGUAUCUCUGGGCCCUCUCGGUAAUACAACAUCACAAGAAGCUUGCAAGCAAAGUGACUGAGGCGUUAGUUACAAGAUGAUGUAUUAAGGAACGAGUAAAGAGACUUGCCGGUAACAAGAUUGAACUAGGUAUGGAGAUACCGACGAUCGAAUCUCGGGCAAGUAACAUACCGACGGACAAAGGGAACUACGUAUGUUGUCAUAAAGGUUCGACCGAUAAAGAUCUUCGUAAAAUAUGUAGGAGCCAAUAUGGGCAUCCAGGUCCCGCUAUUGUUUACUGACCGGAGAAGCAUCUCGGUCAUGUCUACAUCAUUCUUGAACCCGUAGGGUCCGCACGCUUAACGUUCGUUGACGAUAUAGUAUUAUAUGAAUUAUGAGAGUUGGUGACCGAAUGUUUUUUGGAGUCCCGGAUGAGAUCAGGAUAUGACGAGGUGCUCGAGAAUGGUCCAGAGGUAAAGAUUAAUAUAUAGGAUGAUAGUAUUUGGUCUCCGGAAAGGUUUCAGAAAAUAUCGGGUAUUUAUCGGAUCACCGGAAGGGGUUCCGGGAGGCCACGGGGAGUUAUUGGGCCAAACGGGCCAAGGGAGGGAGCACACCAGCCCACAAGGGGGCUGGCGCCCACUUCCUGGCCGCCGGGCCUAUAGGAAGGAAAGGGGGAGACGCCUAGGGCAUGAGCCCAGGGCAGCAGCCGGCACCCUUGCGGGCACGCCUAGGCAGCCUACCACCCCCUCCAGCUAUAUAUACGAAAGGAGGGGGGGGGCAAUACAGACCACGAAUCCGCAAGCCAUGUGUGGCGCCCCCUCUCCCUCUAGUUAUACUUCCUCCUCCCUCCAUGUCUGUUGUGCUUGGCGAAGCCCUGCGGAAUAGUUUCACCACCACCGUUACCAUGCCGUCGUGCUGCCGGAACUCAUCUACUACUUCGCAUCUCUUGCUGGAUCGAGAAGGCGAGGACGUCAUCGAACUGAACAUGUGCUGAACGCGGAGGUGCCAUACGUUCGGUACUUGAUCGGGACGGAUCGUGAAGGUGUACAACUACAUCAACCGUGUUGAUAAACACUUCUGCUUAGUGAUCUACAAGGGUAUGUAGUGUUAGGAAACAUAGUAGAAAAAAUAAUGCGCACCUAUGAUCACCAAGAUCAAUAUGAAGAUGCAUAACGGGUUGGGAUAACCGAUUGUUACCGACUCCGGAGUGUAACAGAAGAAGAAGAGUCGGUGUAGAUCGUGCUUGGAGCCCCUCGAACGUUGAUGACGAUCCCAUUAACCGUCCUUGAACAAUCUCUCAAAUCGACGACCGAAAGCACGGCCUCUCCACUUGGUUGCAAGCGUACGCACUUCACGAUCCGGUAGUGCUUCGCCGUCCAGAGCUAAUCGUCACCGGAGAAUUAGAGGGAGGAGAUUAUAACCACACUGGGCUUCUAAUUAUGAGGAUUAGGGUGGCUAGGGCUAUCUCUAAUUAGUCUAGGACCAACUAGAACUAGAUCAACUAGAAGAGGCACCCAAAAACUUACGUGCAAUAGGGUGGAAAACCUCUAGUAUAUAUAGGUUUCGGGGGCAGGAGAGGGAAGCCACCAAGGGAGGAAAGUCCUCCCUUGUUGCCGGCCUAGGGGGAGUCCAGCUCCCACCCCUAGUAGGAUUCCCCCCCCACCCACAAGGAAAGGGGGGCGCCACCUCCACUUGGGCCUUUAUGGCCCAAGUGUCCUUCCACCGUUUGGCCUUUUAAGGCCCCUUGAUAUUUAAUUUAUAUAUAUAAUACUUUAAACAUUUCAAGAGAAUUAUAUGUAUAAUUUAACAUCUUCGAAAACAUUUUCCACCUAUAUAUAAUUAAUCGGUAAUGUCCGGUAUUACCCGAUAUUCACCGAAAACCCUUUCGGUGACCCGAAACGCUUUCAAAACCUCUUAGAACUAUUCUGGAUAUUAAUGAAACUAUUUCAUGAAUAUAUUCUCAUCACUCCUAUUCCACUAAUACUCAGCAGAUCGUGAUUACCUUAAGCUUGUGACCCCGUAGGUUCGGUAAAUCAUAGACAUGAACGAACCCCCUUCGUUCAAUGACCGAUAGCGAAAUCGUGGACAUCCAUAUCGGUCCCUAUGAUUACAUGAAUGAUAUUGGAGUGAACCUUUGGUUAUCAUGUGAUGUUCCCUUUGCUUCGUGAUACCACAUCCUCCAGAGUCAUCACCAUGCUCACUAUACCAUCGCUCCCGUUACCAGUUUUGUUCUUCUUUCUCGUUGACGUGUUCCGGCAUCCUCGUGACGAAGUCACGUGUGUCUAGCCAGACGAUGAUGGAUGCCGUUACACCGAGAGGGCCCUAAUAAUAUAUCUCCACCUUCGGAGGAGCAAAUCCCACUCUUGAGUUGUUCGUUCACUUGUCAAACUUUCCGGUGAGCCUGGAAGUUGUCGUUAUGAUCACCUUGUUACAUAUGAAGUUUGAGCAACCAAAAAGUCCAUCGGUUGGUAGGAAGUGACCGAGACACUCUCAUGGUCUGAGGAACUAAAAAACAUAUGCUAACACUCUGUGUUAUAACAGAUGAUUUCAGACGAUAUGAUCACUAAGUAUAAUAUACAAGAUUGGGUCGAUUCAAUAUGAUAGUUCUUCUAACGUCAUACCCUCAACUUGCACCAAUCGAGAAAAAUAUAUCCGCAAAAAAUCAGCCCAAGACCGAGGUGGUGCAACACCUCGGAUGUAGUCCGUCGUAAAGCUUAGAUACAAGUGGCUGGCUCCAUAGAGGGCAUUUCCGGCAUUAAGUUUGGCUGAACUCCUUCAACUUUUUCGAACCAAGGUGAUCUAUGACACCUUGGAUACAGUUCGGCGUUGGAGCUUGGAUAUUGUCCGACGUUGGAGCUUGGAUAUAGUGCGGUGUUGGAGCUUGGACACAGUCCGACGUUGGAGCUUGGAUGCAGUCCGGUGUUGGAGCUCGGUUGUAAAUAGACACCUCGAAUGAAGUCCGGCAUUGGAGAUUGGAUAGAGUCCGGCUUGGGAGCUCGGACGUGAGAGGACACUGCUGCAUGGGAAACACUUCAAAUCCGAGGUGUGGCGUAAAAAAUAACAAUGCAUUGAUAAAGGCCGAAAACUUAAAGGGCUCCUUGGAUGCCCGAUGCGUGAACUCUUCGGAUUCAGCUCGGUGAUCCUCAAUAUCGGAGAUGGGAAGAUUUGUUGAACCAGUUUUCAAGACUGACAACCGAAGGCGAAGAACAGUUUGGAAGAACCGAGGAGCGUGCUCAACUUGAAGACCGGUUCAGGGGGCUACUGAUGAUGUCCUGGACUAGGGGGUACUUACCAUGUCGUCUCCCGACCAGUGGGUCGGGCCGAGGACCCCCAUGGCGGUUCACUAAUGGGCCAGUUCGGACAACCGAUAACAUAUGCGAGGAAGAUUGCACAAGACUUGGUGAUCAAGACAAGGACUCCUCUCCGGCGACGUAUUCGACUAGGACUCUUGUUAUCCUAGGUCCCCGGUACAUUAUAUAAGCCGAGGCCAGGCUAGUCGAUAGAUCAUGAUGACAUCCAUCAUAUCAUUAGGGUUUAGACCACAACUCAUGAUCUCGAGGUAGAUCAACUCUGUACUCGAUACCCCAUCAUCAAUAUAAACAAGAGUAGGACGUAGGGUUUUACCUCCAUCAAGAGGGCCCGAACCUGGGUAAAAAAUAUCUCCUUUGUUCCUGUUACCAUUGAUCUGAGAAUCCACAGCUCGGGACCCCCGACCCCGAGGUCUGCCGGUUUGACAAUCAUGUUAUUAGCUUUUAGAAUUUUCUACAUCCAAUCUAGUAAUUAACAUGACAUCUUGCAUACAAUCUAUCAGAACAAAUUUCGAUUAAUUGAUUCAAUUUACCAUUGUUAAGGAUUCAUUAAUCUCUUCAAGCUAUAACAUCCUCCCACUUGACAAUAAAACCUUUUCCUUCAUUUGGGACAAAUCUUUUUGUCUUUUGUUCAUUUCAGUGAGAGGAAUCUUGUUAUAUAAUAUUCUACAAUCCAACUAUUAUCUAGUUAAAUAAUUUCAUAUCUCAUAUGAUCUUUUUCUUUUAACCAGAUCUAUAUGCUGUUUUUCUGUUGAGUGUAAAUAUUGAUGUUUCAGUUAUACCCUGAAUAUAAAAAGCAGAUAGAAUAAUUCAAAUGUUUUGCUAAACUUAUGAAUUUAGAUAUAUUAUUCAAAUGAAGAAUCAUAUUAUCAAUUGUCAUAAUGAUCCUUAACCUUCAUUAAAAUAUUUGAACUCUUCAAAUAAUAUUUAUUCUGAAAAAAACUACCAUCAUCAUUAAACAACAUUUACAAAAGAUUUUCAUGGCUCCCACCUCCACCCCACCCUCGCCGCUAGGCUCUCCGGCGAUCUCUCUCCAUAGCCACUAAUUUCCAAAACUAAUCCACUCAUCCUCUCUGGCGUCUCCUCCUCUACACGAGGAUCACCAUCUUCUAUGGAUCAGGGCUCUGGUUCCACCCUUGGCUUGGAUUUCUCCAAGGGUUUGGUUUUUGCAAAUGAGAUCUAUAGAUCUUGUGGUGUCUCGGUUCAUCCUUCGGAUGACACGGGUUCUUUCAUCAUGGUGUUGUCUUUUAGUAGGCAUGAUUUUAGCCUCUCGGAGGAUUCGGUGGCAGCGGCACUAGAGGCAGCUAUUGGUGGAUCGGCGAUUGAGUUCAUGGUUUCCAAUAUAUGUGACAAGGUAUUCUCCUUUCAUGUUUCAUGCAAAAAAGUUGGUCUUUACAUUCUUGCUCUUUUAUCUUUUGCUUGUGAGCACUUUAAGUGUUUCUUCCACCUAUGGGGACAUGGUGGUCCUAAUUGGAGGCGUGAAGUUUUGAUUUGGAGAAAGGAAUGUGAUGCUGAAUGGGUUUUUGUUAGCCCUACCAAACGCAUGCUACGAUUGGCAUGAUGGCCAUGCAUAAGCCUCCAGUCAAAUCCUCUUUGAAGUCUGGAUCUAGUUGCAGGAAGAAACUCUCAUUUGCCACGUUUCAGAAUUAUCCUGCAUGCAAAGGUUAUCGAUACCCUGCCACACAAACAUGCAUUGAUACUGUAAAAGAUGCGGGUUAUGUUAUUAGUCCACGCGAGCGCAUUAUUAUUCAUUCAUCACCGGCGCCGGAGCUUCGGUGGACGGUGGCUGCUCUCCGAUCUGUUUUGGUACGGUCCCUACGCUUUCCACUCGGUCAGCGGCAAUCUCGCCUGAGUUGGUUCCUCAUUCCUCGGAGCGAUCGUUGGGCGGGUCUGGGAUUUUUUCAAAUCAUCACCCUUCUGAUCCACUUCCUAUUGUUGGGCCUAUUGAAUCACCUAGGGCCGAGAUUGCCCCGGUUAGCCCAUCUUCUGCGCCAUGCGCCAGCCCACCAGGCCUAGUCAAUGCCGAAUCUCCCAAUGCACGACAAGUCAAUCAGGAUCGUAACUUAUCACCCACCAGGAUUUUGGGCCAAUCGGUUGAAGAUUUGGAGGGAUUUUCUUCUAUGGUUGACGAAAUUGCGUUUAAGGUUUGGAAAUGCCAAAACUGAUUUUCAAUGCCACAUAUCACCUCCAGUUGCUCCAAUCAAACGCGUUGUCGCCGUUGUUUUCGACAAGGCCACAGGGCAAAAUCUUGCAUAGGAUCUGCACCUGCCGGGGGUUUUAGGUGGGUCCCGCGCAUCAUUGAGAGUCCAUCUGCCACCCAGCCUGACAGCCCACUACCGAUUUUGCCGCUUGACGCCUCGAGUUCCCUCCAACCCACCGCUGCAGCUUGCCCAUUGAUACAUCCCGUCGGGGAUUUACAUCUAGCUUCGUCAUCAGAGCCUACUUCGCCUCCACCUCCGCCACCUCCAUUACCAUCACCACCCCGAGCUCCGCCAUCCGCCCCACGAUCGAAAAUGCCACCACCUCCAUCCUCAACAUCAUCGCCACUACCACACACGCCUGCAUCGACAUCGCCGGAGAUGGCCAACUUUGAGUUGGAUCCCAUGCAGUACGUGCCGCCGGGCUUUGAGAUCAUAGAUGGGGGGCCACUCCGUCUCCCUCGCACCUUCUUCGCUCGAGCUACUGCGCCCGACAGAAGGAAUGAGGAGUACGCUAUUGGCAUCGUUGAGCCAGAGCCGUUGCCGGAGGAGAUUCCCCUCUACCGCAACAUGGUUAGUGAUUUCGUUGUCAAUAAGUUGGGGAGAGAUGUUCUUGAUGCCCAGCCAUGGAUUCAGGGGGUUGGGCUGUUCCAUUUCCGUAGUGCAGUCUCUAGGUAAGUUAUGGCGGAUCAUCCACCCUUUGAUUUGGGCAACGAUCGCUUUGUUCAAUUUAUUCCGCAUGAUGAAGGGGUUAACUAUAGAGCUGCUCAUGGCUUUCGCCGUGGUUGGGUCAUGCUAUUGGGUGUCCCUCUUGAUUAUCGUCAGACUCAAUACAUAGCAGAUGUGAUUAGCACUUUUUGGCGUUUUCAUGCUUGGCAUCAGACUGAUCAGCUAAUGGUGCGGACUCUUGCUUAUGUGUCCUUCCCUGCACCUUCCAUGGUUCCUCGGGGCGUGGUUUAUCGUGAGUAUGGAGAUUUUGGUGCUAUUAGGGUUUCUUGGUCUGCUCCGGUUUAUGUUCUCUCUGCGGAUUUUGCGGAUGUGUUGCCUGCUGACGAGGACCCAAUGCCUUUUGACGGGAAUCCACAUCCCCUUCCUGGCCAGAUGCAUUUCAACAACCAUAACUGCGUAAUGCCGGAGUUCCCUGAGUUAGGAUGGAAUGAUGUGCCUCCUCCUGGUGCUGGCAAUGAGAAUGUGCAGGAUGAUGCUUUCCAUGGCAAUGCUGCAGAGCCAGUGGAACUUGAAGAACCUGUUCAGUCUUAGGAGUCUAUGGUGUUGCAAGUCUCUGAUGACUCUGUCAACAAUGCCAAUGUUCCUGCUGCUUUGCCCAAUGUAGAUAUUGUUCCCUUUCAACCACAUGUAGAUCAACUCCCAGCUCAGCAGGUUCUGCAUGUUGGACAGGUUAUAACUGUCUUUGGGCCAGUUCUGCCCCCUCAGAUGCAAUGGACACGUACCUUCUGCAAGUUCAUGCAGCAUUUUGACUCUGCAGUCAUUUCUAGGCCAUUAUAGAUGCCUCUGUUUUCAUUAAUCAAGCGGUCCUGGGAUCGUAGCUUCAGUGAUGGGGUUCUGGAGUUCAAUCUGUUGCCCCCCUCAUCUGCUCCUGAGAAUGUUCGUCAGUUUUCACCUGUGAAGCGACCGGUCGCUCGUGCACUCUGCUUUGAUGAACCCUUUGAACUGACUGAACCUGUAACAGAGAAGUUCCAAUUUACUGCUAUGCUUGUUAUUAGCAACAAGAGAGCUCGCAAAUCUGCAUCUGUUAGGCCUGUUUUGAUUGAUUCUCAGGUCCGUCGCAGUGCUAGACUCAGCGCCUUGCGUGAUGGAUUCCGUCAGGCGCCUCCAAGGUCAAUCAGCCCACAGCAUGUCAAGCGCUCUAAGAAGCGCAAAACCAAUGCCCAGCCUGCUACCCCGGCUACGUCUGCUCGUGAAGAACCUAUUGUGCCUCCUCCAACGGCCAUCUCUGAUCUUCAACGCAUUGGAGCACGACUGCGUAUUGCCCCUGAGAAGAUAACAACGGAGAAGCUUGUUGCUGAUCCUUCUGGUGCCAACUCAAGCAAGAGUUCUGAUGAUGAGUGAAGUUUGUUGCAGCAUGGGUUGCUGGCGAACCCGUUUAAUCACCACUUAUCUUUGCUUUUGUUUUCCUAUGUUGAACUCUAUGCUACUGUUAGGUGGAUGUCGUAGGUCAUUGCGUGACUUGCUUUUGCUUUUAUUUUCUUUGGUUUGUAAUGAAUAAACAAUCUUUAGAGACGGGAAGAUCUUGUGUUGGAAUGUGUGUGGUCUUAAUUCAAAAGCGAGACAACUUGCGGUUAAACAGAGGAUAGAUGAAAGUGGGUGCUCUAUUGUCUAUUUGCAAGAAUCUAAAUGCAUGCAUAUUGACCAGCGUUUUCUUAGGAAGUUUUGUCCUCGGCGCUUUGAUAAUUUUGUGUAUAUGCCAUCGUCUGGUGCUUUUGGUGGUCUUGUGAUUAUUUGGAACUCUGCUUUCUUCUCUGGUAAAUUAAUCAAAGCUCACUCUUAUGGCAUCAUUGUGGAGUUUACCUCCACACACACAUCUGAAGUUUGGACAUUGGUGUCAGUUUAUGGUCCAUGCCAGAGUCCUGCCCGCGAUGAUUUUGCUCAGUGGUUAUAUAAUUUGAACAUACAAUUUGAUGAGAAAUGGUUACUUCUUGGGGAUUUUAAUUUUAUGCGUUCUUUGGAGAACCGUAAUUUGCCUAGGGGUAAUGUAAAUGACAUCUUCCUUUUCAAUGAAAUUAUUGGUCAUCUAGGGUUGGUGGAACUGACAAUAAAAGGAAGACAAUAUACUUGGUCCAAUAUGCAAACAAAUCCUCUUCUUGAGCAAAUUGAUUGGUUUUUCACCAUGUUAUCUUGGACCUCAGAUCAUCCUAAUACUAUGGUCAUGCCUCUUGCACGGACAGCAUCAGAUCAUGUGCCAUGCGUGGUUUCUGUUGCCACUUCUAUUCCAAAGGCCAAAGUCUUCCGCUUUGAAAACUAUUGGGUGAAUCUGCCAGGUUUUUUUGAAUGGGUUUCUGAGGUUUGGAGUACGCCUGUUAGAAAGUUUUCUGUUGCUGGUAAAAUUUUGGCUAAAUUUAAAGCUCUGCGUUAUGCACUUAAGAAGUGGCAUGUGAGUCUUUCCAAGGUUAAAAACCUAAUUGCAGACUGCAACAAGGUGAUUCUAUACUUUGAUGGUUUGGAAGAGCUCAGAACGCUUACUUGGCCAGAGAUGAACUUUUGGAAGAUUGUCAAACUUCAUUUAGAGGAAAUCCUUCGUUUGCAAUUUAUUUAUUGGAAGUAGCGAUGUACUAUCAGAUCCAUUAAAGUGGGUGAGGAAAACACCAAAUUUUUCCAUGCCAUGGCUACAGAACGAUAUCGCAGAAAUACCAUCUCCUCCAUUAAAAAUGCUGCAGGUGAUGUGGUGACAGAUCAUCAACAGUUAGCCUCCAUGUUUUGGGCUGACUUCAAGCAGCACAUGGGACAAUCCAAGGGCAUUCGCAUGACUUUUGACCUUGACAGCCUCCUGGCUAGAGUUGAUGGGCUUGAUGCUCUAUCUAGGCCUUCCACUGAAGAUGAAGUGGAUGAGGUAAUUAAGCAUAUGCCCACUGACCGUGCUCCUGGACCGGAUGGAUUUACAGGCCUCUUUAUGAAGAGAUGUUGGAGUGUUCUCAAGGAGGAUUUUAUGAAUUUGGUUAAAGAAUUUUAUGAUGGAAAAUGCAAUUUGGAGUGUCUCAUUGCCCUCAUACCAAAGAAGUUAAAACUUGAAUUUGUUGGUGACUUUCGGCCAAUUUCAUUAACCAAUACAUGUUUAAAGUUCUUAACCAGGCUAUUGGCGAAUCAUUUGCAGAAAGUAAUCCUUCAAUGCAUCCACCGUAACCAAUAUGGAUUUCUCAAGUGUCGUUCUAUCCAGGACUGCCUAGCGUGGUGUUUUGAAUAUAUACAUCAAUGCAAAGCUUCAAAGAGGCUUAUUGUUUUACUAAAGCUGGACUUCACUAAAGCUUUUGACACGAUCGAACAUGAAGCCAUUCUCAGAAUUCUUCAAUGCAAGGGUUUUGACGAGUGUUGGAAUGGUUGGGUCAGUAGCUUACUUUCAUCUGGUUCUUCUUCGGUUCUUUUAAAUGGAGUCCCAGGUCAGCAUUCUAAAUGUAAAAGUGGAGUUCAUCAAGGUGACCCUUUAUCACCUUUAUUGUUUGUAAUCGCAUUUGAUCUUCUGCAAUCUAUGGUGAAUGACAUGUGCAGCCGUGAUAUCCUCACCAUGCCAAUCCCAACAAGGUCCAACGAUUACCCCAUUGUCCAAUGCGCGGAUGACACCCUGAUUGUUUUGCCUGCUGUCGACAGCCAAUUAAUUGCACUCAAAGAUAUGUUGCAGAAUUUUGCUGACUCCACGGGUGUAGCGACCCGACCUCAGACGGUCAAGUCUCUGUGCUUAAGUGUCAUCCUUGGAUCGGUCUGCUGACACACACAGUACUCGAGGAUUUAUAACAGAGGUAAAUCACAUGUAUAAAGUAACGUAAAUACCAUUACCUCAAUCCAAAUAGCGGAAGUAACAACAAGGUUGUGGAUUCCCAUCAACACCAACGGCAAAGUUGAGUGUAGAAAUAGUAACCCUAACGUAUCACUUACUCGUCAUAAGAUUCCUGCAGCAUGAGACGUUGCAGCCACAAAGGGUCAGUACAUUGAAUGUACUGGCAAAUUCACACCAUAGGAUAAUGAUGAAUAAUAACUAUCACUAUAUGCAUAUAUGGCUGGUGGAGGCUCUAUGGUUAAAAUGUUUUUGCGAAAAGCCAAUUUUUCCCUACUGCAAAGGAAUAUAUUUUAUUUAACUACAAAGUUGGUUUAUAAAUAUUGAGAAGGUUCCUCCAACUCAAUCCCAAAAUAAUAAUCAUUAACCCAAUCAAAUUAAUUGAAUGAAGUGUUGAGAUCAACAUGAUGAUUCAAGAACCAGAUACUCAAGAUGUCCAUAACCGGGGACACGGCUAAUCAUGAUUAGUUUGUACACUCUGCAGAGGUUUGCGCACUUUUCCCCACAAGACUCGAUCUCCUCCGUUGGAUUUCUCGCACUACAUGGUGUUUGAGAAACGGAUGACCGAGACACGGUCUUUCAGAAGCACUAACUCUUUACUCUGGGUGGAUAGUUACACCUACUUUCCCCUACAUUUGCUAGCCCACUACUAAAAGAGGUCAUGCAACAUAUCAACUAUGCUAGAGCCCAUAAUAGCUUGUGGCUGCACGCGGAAGUUUCUAGCAUGAAUAAUCUUAUGAUCCCUUUGAGCUUGGGUGGCAUUCCAUAGGGUGAUCACACGGGUCCUCCGGGAUCCCCUUGGGCAAGCACUGGGUUCUCCAGGUGCCCGGGCAGACCACUGGGUGCUCCAGGGUGCACCAACCAAUCCACCCAGAUGUGUAUUAAAGUAGCCACCUUAAGUUAACCAUUAUUAAUAACUCUCACAUCUGUCAUGAAUACACUCGACCAAUCCACGUCUACGAGCAUAGCAUAGCAGUAUGAGCAUAACGUAGUAGUAACUCCCAAGGUUUGAAUGCAGGACAAUAGGUUCCUACCUCAUCAACUACUUCCCGAAACCCACAUAUUAAUCAGAUCCUACUCAUGCAAUGUUUGAGGGUGAAACUAAUGCAUAAAAACUAAGUAUGAAAGGGAUAUGAUCAAAGUGUGAACUUGCCUGUACUGUUGAUGAAGAUGAUUCACACUCAUAACUCCUGAUAUUUCUACUCGUCACACGCCGGUCAAUCUAUCGUAAGCAAGCAAUAGUAACCACACAUAAGCAAUCACUCAAAAGAUCGGAAAGAACGAAGAAGACAAUUCGGAAAACAUCAAAACCAAGCAAAUAACUCUUGCAACAUAAAACAAUUUCUAACAGUACCAAAAUUAUGUGUAUUUGGCCUUAUCAGAAAGUUUAGGUAAGGAGAUUCGAUCUGCAAAAAGAAUCAACUCAAACGGAGUUAUAAAACUCGAGUUAUGAUCAAACGAAGUUCAAAUACAAAUCUGUUUGAAAUCAAAUUUUAAGUUUUCAAAAACAUGUUCAAGUUGUUUUACUGGAGAGAGGGGAUCAUAACGAAGAAGUGGGCGUUGGUUUCGUUGGAUUUGGAGAAAUGGUGCAAAAGUAGCGAACGUUUGAAGAACAGGGACUAAUCUGUAAAGAAAAUAAUCACAGAUAGGUCCCUGGCCGAAAUAAAAAAGAAAAAAGACUAAAUAACGAACGUUCGCUACCGUACGCUAACGAACGAAAACGUUCGCUAAAACUAUCUAAACAGAGAACGUUCACCGAAUAGGACUAACUAAAAAGAAAACCGAUCUAAAAAGAAAACCGGUGCGGGCCUUUUGCGGUUUUUUACCGUUCGGGCCGGUUUCGGCGAAAAAAUGGCGGCGACGGUUUCCGGCGGCAGCGGCGGAUCGGCGGGCUCCGGCGAGGCGGCGCGGGGCGGCGGCUUCGGCGCGAGGCGACGGCAGCGGCGCACGNNNNNNNNNNNNNNNNNNNNNNNNNNNNNNNNNNNNNNNNNNNNNNNNNNNNNNNNNNNNNNNNNNNNNNNNNNNNNNNNNNNNNNNNNNNNNNNNNNNNNNNNNNNNNNNNNNNNNNNNNNNNNNNNNNNNNNNNNNNNNNNNNNNNNNNNNNNNNNNNNNNNNNNNNNNNNNNNNNNNNNNNNNNNNNNNNNNNNNNNNNNNNNNNNNNNNNNNNNNNNNNNNNNNNNNNNNNNNNNNNNNNNNNNNNNNNNNNNNNNNNNNNNNNNNNNNNNNNNNNNNNNNNNNNNNNNNNNNNNNNNNNNNNNNNNNNNNNNNNNNNNNNNNNNNNNNNNNNNNNNNNNNNNNNNNNNNNNNNNNNNNNNNNNNNNNNNNNNNNNNNNNNNNNNNNNNNNNNNNNNNNNNNNNNNNNNNNNNNNNNNNNNNNNNNNNNNNNNNNNNNNNNNNNNNNNNNNNNNNNNNNNNNNNNNNNNNNNNNNNNNNNNNNNNNNNNNNNNNNNNNNNNNNNNNNNNNNNAGCAGCAGCUAGCGGUGGGGGCGGAGCGGGCAGCGGGAGCGAGUGCGGCUACGCGAACGGCAGAGGCGGCGACGGCGAGAUGCGCGGAGGGGAGGCGGCGCGAGCAGAGAGGAAAGGACCCGGGGCCACACUAUUUAUAGGAGGGGAGGGGCGGCUGCUGGCGUGGAGGAGGGGCAAGGACGAGGCGGCGGGGGGAGUCCGGCUGCGGCACGAGAUCGGCGGCGGCGUCGUGCUAGCGCUGGAGUUCGUCCGGAGGUCGGGGGCGACGCGGAGCGGGAUGGGCUUGGCCUGGCCCGGUUAGCUGGGCUGAUCCAGUCGGAGGAGGAAAGUUAAAAAAAACAC
rnacentral:lncRNA from 1 species